UCAUUCUAAACACUGAAACUAAAAGCUAGUGGGAAGGAGAGGAUGGAGAAGCAAGAAUGAACCUGAAGAAGAGGAAGGGGGAGACAGGACUUCACCCUGACUGUGCACUCUUGGCUGGUCCCACAGAGAUUCAGCUGCUCAGUGAUGCCUUCCUAAAAUUUGAUCCUCUCCUGCAGCAUCUGGGAUAAAAACCUCAUUGAAUUCAUAGUGUUGAGAGAAAAAAAAGAUACUUACAGAAUUAACACUUGGUGAAAACAUUAUGGAAGCCUUCUCCGUCUGCUCACGAUCAGGAGAAGGAACACAAUCGAGCAGGAGGAACAAGAGAGGAAACAAUGGGUUGGGGUGUGACUGUGACUCAGUGUGGAAAGCUCUCACAGCAGGCUUCUGGUGAGGAAUUGACUGUUCCAUGCUGCAUCCUUCAGAGAGAAAAUGGACUGGACUAAGGAGGCAAAUAUUGGAUGCCCAUGGCAGAGUACUCUUUUAAAAUAAUUUUUAAACCGGUGUUCUGGAUUUAUACACUAGUCUCUUGCCAGUUGGUGUGUAAUGAUGACAAGGUUGAGUUUCCCAACCUGCAAAGCCAGGGGUUAGUUGACUUCCCUUAGUAGAACCUGAAAUUUUCUUUUUAAGUUCU